rnacentral:rRNA from 1 species
GAUGAACGCUGGCGGCGUGCUUAACACAUGCAAGUCGAACGGGAAACAUUUUAUUGAAGCUUCGGCAGAUUUAGUUUGUUUCUAGUGGCGGACGGGUGAGUAACGCGUGGGUAACCUGCCUCACACUGGGGAUAACAGUCAGAAAUGACUGCUAAUACCGCAUAAGCGCACGGAACCGCAUGGUUUUGUGUGAAAAACUCCGGUGGUGUGAGACGUACCGGACCGUCGGU